UACGGGGGGGGUAAGCGUUGUUCGGAAUUACUGGGCGUAAAGGGCUCGUAGGCGGCCAACUAAGUCAGACGUGAAAUCCCUCAGCUUAACUGGGGAACUGCGUCUGAUACUGGAUGGCUUGGAUUCGGGAGAGGAAUGCGGAAUUCCAGGUGUAGCGGUGAAAUGCGCAGAUAUCAGGAAGAACACCCGUGGCGAAGGCGGUUCUCUGGGACGGUACUGACGCUGAGACGCGAAAGCGUGGGGAGCAAACAGG
rnacentral:rRNA from 1 species